UACGGAGGAUCCGAGCGUUAUCCGGAUUUAUUGGGUUUAAAGGGUGCGCAGGCGGGAAAUUAAGUCGGCGGUGAAAUUUUGCGGCUCAACCGUAAAAGUGCCUUCGAUACUGGUUUUCUUGAGUGUAGCUGAAGUAGGCGGAAUGCGUCGUGUAGCGGUGAAAUGCUUAGAUAUGACGCAGAACUCCGAUUGCGAAGGCAGCUUACUGGGAUGCAACUGACGCUCAGGCACGAAGGCGUGGGGAUCAAACAGGAUUAGAUACCCGCGUAGU
rnacentral:rRNA from 1 species